UAUCAGUGCUUUAUUUUUAUUAACAGUUUUUAUUCUUUUAAUCAAUCCCUUCAUAGACCUAGAUAAAAUCAAAGCAGCUUGUGGAAUUAAUGCAACCCACCAACAAGUCAACAACAGCUUGUGGGUAUUAAAUAAAAAAUGUUUAACGAUUUUUAACAUUAACAUCACUCUUAAAUUUUUUAAUUCCAAAUCAUGACUUACUAACGUCUAGAUAAGCGUUGCAAUUAUCUGAGCCUGAGAGAAUUUACUUUUCGUUCAAAUAUCCAAGCUGGCCAGCUCCCUUGCAAGGCCGUUGUUCCAUUUGAUUUAAUUAGUCAAGUGACCGAGUUCAAACACUUACUAAUAGUCAACAGCUGAACAAUAUAAAGCUAUUUUUUUUUCUCU
rnacentral:lncRNA from 1 species